rnacentral:sRNA from 1 species
AUGAAGAACAAUAUUAUCAAUACACAGCAGUCUUUUGUAACCAUGCCCAAUGUGAUUGUACCAGAUAUUGAAAAGGAAAUACGAAGGAUGGAAAAUGGAGCAUGCAGCUCCUUUUCCGAGGAUGAUGACAGUGCCUCUAUAUCUGAAGAAUCAGAGAAUGAAAACCCUCAUGCAAGGGGUUCCUUUAGUUAUAAGUCACUCAGAAAGGGAGGACCAUCACAGAGGGAGCAGUACCUGCCUGGUGCCAUUGCACUUUUUAAUGUGAACAACAGCAGCAAUAAGGACCAGGAACCAGAAGAAAAAAAGAAAAAGAAAAAAGAAAAGAAGAGCAAGUCAGAUGAUAAAAAUGAAAAUAAAAAUGACCCAGAGAAGAAAAAGAAGAAAAAGGACAAAGAGAAGAAAAAGAAAGAGGAGAAAAGCAAAGAUAAGAAAGAAGAGUAAGCACUUUUAGUGGCAUUGAAAUAGAAGGAAAUUGUGAUGGGUUUUAGAUGCAGGGAUGAUUUUCCAUAAUACAAAGUAGAAAGAAACUUUAUAGUAAAGAGCCCUGUGUAAAGACCAAAUGUCUUUAAACAUUGAAAAAUAAACAUUUAACAUAAAUUAUCAGAAGUGAAUUAAAACUUUUUCCAAUUUCCCUAAAAUUAGCAAUGGUAGCAUUAUUCUUAAUUCUCUCAAGAAUUUUCACUGCUAGGGUUAAUUCUCUU